rnacentral:rRNA from 1 species
AGUUGGUAAGGUAACGGCUUACCAAGGCGACGAUCAGUAGCCGACCUGAGAGGGUGAUCGGCCACAUUGGAACUGAGACACGGUCCAAACUCCUACGGGAGGCAGCAGUGGGGAAUAUUGCACAAUGGGCGAAAGCCUGAUGCAGCAACGCCGCGUGAGUGAUGAAGGCCUUCGGGUCGUAAAACUCUGUCCUCAAGGAAGAUAAUGACGGUACUUGAGGAGGAAGCCCCGGCUAACUACGUGCCAGCAGCCGCGGUAAUACGUAGGGGGCUAGCGUUAUCCGGAUUUACUGGGCGUAAAGGGUGCGUAGGCGGUCUUUCAAGUCAGGAGUGAAAGGCUACGGCUCAACCGUAGUAAGCUCUUGAAACUGGGAGACUUGAGUGCAGGAGAGGAGAGUGGAAUUCCUAGUGUAGCGGUGAAAUGCGUAGAUAUUAGGAGGAACACCAGUUGCGAAGGCGGCUCUCUGGACUGUAACUGACGCUGAGGCACGAAAGCGUGGGGAGCAAACAGGAUUAGAUACCCUGGUAGUCCACGCUGUAAACGAUGAGUAC